CGCGCUCCCUCGCUCCACCUUUUUCCAGCUCUGCCUUCUCAGGCAGAUACAUCAGAUACCUUGUUUAUCCAUCUUCAGCUCCACUCUGAGGGCGCAGACGCACGAUUCCGGGAUCGGGUGCACCACGGCGAAGCCCAGGCGGGAGACGGCAGGAGCAGCUCAGGUAACCAGGGGAAGCUUGGCGUGCCCACGGAGAUGCAGCCCUGGAGCUGUGAGGAAAGACGGUCUGGCUUCAGAAUUAAAAAAAAAAAAAAAAAUAGAAAAAAAAAAAAAAAAAGAAACACAAAA